UACAUGUGGGGCAAGCGUUGUUCGGAAUUACUGGGCAUAAAGGGUGCGUAGGUGGCUUGUUAAGUCAGGGGUGAAAGUUUUCGGCCCAACCGGAAAAUGGCCUUUGAUACUGGCGAGCUCGAGUGCGUGAGGGGUAACCGGAACGAGCAGUGUAGCGGUGGAAAUGCGUAGAUAUCAGGAAGAACACCCGUGGCGAAGGCGGCUCUCGUGGAACGCAACUGACGCUGAGACGCGAAAGCGUGGGGAGC
rnacentral:rRNA from 1 species